rnacentral:tRNA from 2 species
GCUGACGUCGCAUAGCCUGGUAUUGCGCUGGAUUUGAAAUCCAGUGUCCCUUGGACUCGGGAGUUCGAAUCUCUCCGUCAGCGCCA